CCUACGGGGGGCUGCAGUGGGGAAUAUUGGGCAAUGGGCGCAAGCCUGACCCAGCAACGCCGCGUGAAGGAAGAAGGCUUUCGGGUUGUAAACUUCUUUUUAGAGGGAAGAGCAGAAGACGGUGUCUCUUGAAUAAGCCACGGCUAACUAAGUGCCAGCAGCCGCGGGAAUACGGAGGUCGCAAGCGUUAUCCGGAUUUACUGGGUGUAAAGGGCGUGUAGCCGGGCUGACAAGUCAGAUGUGAAAUUCCGGGGCUCAACCCCGGACCUGCAGUUGAAACUGUUGGUCUUGAGUAUCUGAGAGGCAGGCGGAAUUCCUAGUGUAGCGGUGAAAUGCGUAGAUAUUAGGAGGAACACCAGUUGCGAAGGCGGCCUGCUAGACGAUAACUGACGGUGAGGCGCGAAAGCGUGGGGAGCAAACAGGAUUAGAUACCCCUGUAGUC
rnacentral:rRNA from 1 species